rnacentral:pre_miRNA from 1 species
AGCGAUGUUCGGUGAAAUUUAGAACCACUAAGUGAUAUAGGGAAUUCUAAAUUUCACCGUACGCUAAA